rnacentral:rRNA from 1 species
CAGCCGUAAACUAUGCGCGUUAGGUGUAUCGGUGACCACGAGUUACCGAGGUGCCGAAGGGAAACCGUGAAACGUGCCGCCUGGGAAGUACGGUCGCAAGGCUGAAACUUAAAGGAAUUGGCGGGGGAGCACCACAACAGGUGGAGCCUGCGGUUUAAUUGGACUCAACGCCCGGGAAGCUCACCGGAUAGGACAGCGGAAUGAUUGCCGGGCUGAAGACUCUGCAUGACUAGCUGAGAGGAGGUGCAUGGCGUAGACGUCU